GAUGAACGCUGGCGGCGUGCCUAAUACAUGCAAGUCGAGCGAAUGGAUUAAGAGCUUGCUCUUAUGAAGUUAGCGGCGGACGGGUGAGUAACACGUGGGUAACCUGCCCAUAAGACUGGGAUAACUCCGGGAAACCGGGGCUAAUACCGGAUAACAUUUUGAACCGCAUGGUUCGAAAUUGAAAGGCGGCUUCGGCUGUCACUUAUGGAUGGACCCGCGUCGCAUUAGCUAGUUGGUGAGGUAACGGCUCACCAAGGCAACGAUGCGUAGCCGACCUGGGAGGGUGAUCGGCCACACUGGGACUGAGACACGGCCCAGACUCCUACGGGAGGCAGCAGUAGGGAAUCUUCCGCAAUGGACGAAAGUCUGACGGAGCAACGCCGCAUGAGUGAUGAAGGCUUUCGGGUCGUAAAACUCUGUUGUUAGGGAGGAACAAGUGCUAGUUGAAUAAGCUGGCACCUUGACGGUACCUAACCAGAAAGCCACGGCUAACUACGUGCCAGCCGCCGCCGUAA
rnacentral:rRNA from 1 species